rnacentral:tRNA from 1 species
CGUGGCUCAGUGGUUAACAAACCCGACUAGCAUCCAUGAGGAUGCAGGUUCGAUCCCUGGCCU